rnacentral:misc_RNA from 1 species
CAGAAAACUAUCUUACCUUAUACGCGUUUCCACGGAGGAUCUAGAGAAAGAGCGGGGUGCUGUUUUAGAAGAGUACAUAGGAGGGCGCAAUGCCUCAGGACGGAUGCAGGACGCACACUGGGUUUUAAUGUUUGAAGGUUCAAAGUAUGCAGAGCGUCUACCAAUUGGGUUGGAAAAGGUGAUUCGGACAGUUACUCCCGAGACUGUGAAGCAGUUUUAUCAGAAAUGGUACCAUUUACACAACAUGGCUGUUGUUGCUGUUGGGG